CACUUAACAUUAUGCAUAAUGUAAAGAGGACGCUCUUGAAAUAUCGCUCUAUUUACGUUUCGGCUACAUAUGACCGUCAGAAAAAACAUAUAUAUUACUUUAAUCAGUUCAAUACUGGACGAUGAUUCAUGGGGUGUAAUCGAUGAUAAAGCUGCUGACACAGUUGAAAUUU